rnacentral:rRNA from 1 species
GACGAACGCUGGCGGCGUGCCUAAUACAUGCAAGUCGAACGCAUUUUCUUUCACCGUAGCUUGCUACACCGAAAGAAAAUGAGUGGCGAACGGGUGAGUAACACGUGGGUAACCUGCCCAUCAGCGGGGGAUAACACUUGGAAACAGGUGCUAAUACCGCAUAAUUCCAUUUACCGCAUGGUAGAUGGGUGAAAGGCGCUUUUGCGUCACUGAUGGAUGGACCCGCGGUGCAUUAGCUAGUUGGUGGGGUAACGGCCUACCAAGGCUGCGAUGCAUAGCCGACCUGAGAGGGUGAUCGGCCACACUGGGACUGAGACACGGCCCAGACUCCUACGGGAGGCGGCAGUAGGGAAUCUUCGGCAAUGGACGCAAGUCUGACCGAGCAACGCCGCGUGAGUGAAGAAGGUUUUCGGAUCGUAAAACUCUGUUGUUAGAGAAGAACAAGGAUGAGAGUGGAAAGUUCAUCCCUUGACGGUAUCUAACCAGAAAGCCACGGCUAACUACGUG